AUUGAACGCUGGCGGCAUGCCUUACACAUGCAAGUCGAACGGCAGCACGGGAGCAAUCCUGGUGGCGAGUGGCGAACGGGUGAGUAAUAUAUCGGAACGUGCCCAGUCGUGGGGGAUAACGCAGCGAAAGCUGUGCUAAUACCGCAUACGAUCUACGGAUGAGAGCGGGGGAUCGCAAGACCUCGCGCGAUUGGAGCGGCCGAUAUCAGAUUAGCUAGUUGGUGGGGUAAAGGCCCACCAAGGCGACGAUCUGUAGCUGGUCUGAGAGGACGACCAGCCACACUGGAACUGAGACACGGUCCAGACUCCUACGGGAGGCAGCAGUGGGGAAUUUUGGACAAUGGGCGCAAGCCUGAUCCAGCAAUGCCGCGUGCAGGAUGAAGGCCUUCGGGUUGUAAACUGCUUUUGUACGGAACGAAACGGCCCUUUCUAAUACAGGGGGCUAAUGACGGUACCGUAAGAAUAAGCACCGGCUAACUACGUGCCAGCAGCCGCCGCAGUAA
rnacentral:rRNA from 1 species